ACGGCGUGUUGGGGACAUUUCUUGAUGAUGUCCUAUAAUCUUUCCCAUGCCUCAUGGAACUGCUCACUAUCAUGCUGAAAAAAGCUAGUGAGAGCUCACCUU
rnacentral:snoRNA from 1 species